rnacentral:rRNA from 1 species
GAUGAACGCUGGCGGCGUGCCUAAUACAUGCAAGUCGAGCGAACAGACGAGGAGCUUGCUCCUCUGACGUUAGCGGCGGACGGGUGAGUAACACGUGGAUAACCUACCUAUAAGACUGGGAUAACUUCGGGAAACCGGAGCUAAUACCGGAUAAUAUAUUGAACCGCAUGGUUCAAUAGUGAAAGACGGUUUUGCUGUCACUUAUAGAUGGAUCCGCGCCGCAUUAGCUAGUUGGUAAGGUAACGGCUUACCAAGGCAACGAUGCGUAGCCGACCUGAGAGGGUGGUCGGCCACACUGGACCUGAGACACGGUCCAGACUCCUACGGGAGGCAGCAGUAGGGAAUCUUCCGCAAUGGGCGAAAGCCUGACGGAGCAACGCCGCGUGAGUGAUGAAGGUCUUCGGAUCGUAAAACUCUGUUAUUAGGGAAGAACAAAUGUGUAAGUAACUAUGCACGUCUUGACGGUACCUAAUCAGAAAGCCACGGCUAACUACGUG